UGCAUGUGUAAGCGCUGUGAGCUGCAAAUGUUUUGUCUUAUGUAAAAAUAAUUAAUAUUAUUAGCUGUCUGUCACCUAAAAUAAGGAAUGUGGAUGGCCAAGUGAAGCUGGAAAAGACUAUUUCUGUUGUAGCAAUUAGUGACAUUUAGAUAAUAUCGAUAUGAAUUACUUUCAAAGCCAUUGUCACAUUUUGCUUUUUUGACAACUUAAUUAGAGAUCAAGACCUUACUUGUGGUAAAGUUAAUGAACAUAGCAUCUUUUGUCAUGGUCUUCAGGGCGCUGCCUCACUGGAGUGCAGUGCAACAGAGGUCAGCUUGCAAUGCCGUUGGUGCCAUAUAUGCGCCAUGGCCAGAUUUUGAAAGGUACAGAAAAGAGCUGGAGCCACAGCAAUUGAAAGGGGCCUUGGAGGCAGCAGCUUCUGACAUCUGCUAAGCUCUGAAUGUCCUGGGAGCUGCUGCCACAGACUUGGACAAGCUGUUUCUGAUAAGUUCAACAACAUCUUGCCCCUCUGCAAGGGAAAUUUCCACUCCCACCACACAAGUUUGCUACUGACAAAUACAGUCUCUAAAUUUGGGAUGGAGGACAGGGAAAGGUGUAGGCUACUUACCCACUUAUCACUGACCCCUGAGUUAUAACGUUUUCAGAUAAGGCAUUCUUUUGAGAAAAGCCAUUGUCUGUUGUUUUAAGUUUGAGGGAUGUUUUGUCUAGUGAAUGCAUUCCCUACAAUAGGAUUGUUCUUGUUUUUAAGACUCUCUUGGGAAGUCCAGCACAUGCAGACUUUUGUGGAUGACCUUGUGAUAUAGUGAUGUUCAGUGUCUUUGCCAUGUGAUUGUUUUAGAUGCCAGACUUUAAGUAUUCCUUUCCUUUUCAGACAGUGAGUUGCUGAGCUUGAAAUUAUCAAGAAUUUCAAUUUGCUACUCAGCUUCCCUGCAGUUCUGAUUUCACUGGAGAUAACAUAACUCUGUCUCCAGUAGGUUUGCAAAAAUGCAAGGUCACUUAAAUCAUCUCCUGUAGGCUUCGUGCCUGUUUUGGGUUUGCGUGGUGGAGUUUUGGUAGCGGGGGAGGGGGCUACAGGGGUGGCUCCUGUGAGAAGCUGCUAGAAGCUUCCCCAGCUCCAAGCCGGACCCACCUCUGGCCAAGGCCGACCCAAUCAGUGAUGAUGGUAGUGCCUCUGGGAUAACAGAUUUAAGAAGGGGGACCUACAGUGGGGGAGGAGAUUGAAAUGAGAGAGAAAUACCUAUGCAGAUACUGAGGUCAGUGAAGAAGGAGGGGGAGGAGGUGCACCGGAGGAGGUUGAUGCCCCUGCAGCCCGUGGGGAGACAGCAGGCUGUCCCCCUGCAGCCCAUGGAGGUGAAAAGUGGAGCAGAUGCCCACCUGCAGCCCAUGGAGGACCCCAUGCCAGAGCAGUUGGAUGCCCCUGAGGAUGGCCGUGACUCCAUGGGAAAGCCUGCAUAGGAGCAGCCUGUGCCUGAAGGUCUGCGGCCUGUGGAAAGGACACAUGCCAGAGAAGUUCGUGGAGAGCUGUCUCCCAUGGGAGGGACCCCAUGCUGGAGCAGGGGAAGAGUGAGGAGUUGUAUUGGGUUUGCAUGGCAACGUUUUGGUAGCAGGGGGGGUUACAGGGGUGGCUUCUGUGAGAAGCUGCUAGAAGCUUCCCCUAUGUCUGACAGAGCCAAUGCCAGCCAGCUCCAAGAUGGACCCACUACUGGCCAAGGCCAAGCUGAUGUACUUAAGCCACCUUAAAAAGGCCACAAAUGUCUUGUGAAACAGGAUACCCUUUGUAUAAACAAUGCAUGCCUUGCUAACACCUGUGCCCCUGAAGAAGAACUAAAAGACUGAUAAGAAGGGAACAUCCUACCCCAGGAGGCACUGAAAGUAGAAUAAUUGCUAAUAGGCAUGAAGUCAGCAAAUAUCUUCAGUAACUGGGGGAAAGGUAUGAGGUGUGCUAGCUUUGUGGAUUACCACCUAGCCCCCAACUUUGUGCAAACAUGAAUUGGAAUAAAAUA